rnacentral:rRNA from 1 species
GAUGAACGCUGGCGGCGUGCCUAAUACAUGCAAGUCGAGCGAACAGACGAGGAGCUUGCUCUUCUGACGUUAGCGGCGGACGGGUGAGUAACACGUGGAUAACCUACCUAUAAGACUGGGAUAACUUCGGGAAACCGGAGCUACUACCGGAUAAUAUAUUGAACCGCAUGGUUCAAUAGUGAAAGACGGUUUUGCUGUCACUUAUAGAUGGAUCCGCGCCGCAUUAGCUAGUUGGUAAGGUAACGGCUUACCAAGGCGACGAUGCGUAGCCGACCUGAGAGGGUGAUCGGCCACACUGGAACUGAGACACGGUCCAGACUCCUACGGGAGGCAGCAGUAGGGAAUCUUCCGCAAUGGGCGAAAGCCUGACGGAGCAACGCCGCGUGAGUGAUGAAGGUCUUCGGAUCGUAAAACUCUGUUAUUAGGGAAGAACAAAUGUGGAAGUAACUAUGCACGUCUUGACGGUACCUAAUCAGAAAGCCACGGCUAACUACGUG